rnacentral:rRNA from 1 species
CAGUCGCCACGGUAAUAUGUAGGGUGCAAGCGUUAUCCGGAAUUAUUGGGCGUAAAGAGCUCGUAGGCGGUUUGUCGCGUCUGCUGUGAAAACUGGAGGCUCAACCUCCAGCCUGCAGUGGGUACGGGCAAACUAGAGUGCGGUAGGGGAGAUUGGAAUUCCUGGUGUAGCGGUGGAAUGCGCAGAUAUCAGGAGGAACACCGAUGGCGAAGGCAGAUCUCUGGGCCGUAACUGACGCUGAGGAGCGAAAGCAUGGGGAGCGAACAGGAUUAGAGACCCGCGUAGUCCCUGUCUCUUAUAC